AUUGAACGCUGGCGGCGGGCCUAACACAUGCAAGUCGAGCGAGCGGCGGACGGGUGAGUAAUGUCUGGGAAACUGCCUGUUGGAGGGGGAUAACUACUGGAAACGGUAGCUAAUACCGCAUACCAUCAGAUGUGCCCAGGUGGGAGUAGCUAGUAGGUGGGGUAACGGCCCACCUAGGCGACGAUCCCUAGCUGGUCUGAGAGGAUGACCAGCCACACUGUAACUGAGACACGGUCCAGACUCCUACGGUAGGCAGCAGGGGGGAAUAUUGCACAAUGUGCGCAAGCCUGAUGCCGCCAUGCCGCGGGUGUGAAGAAGGCCUUCGGGUUGUAAAGCACUUUCAGCGGGUAUGCGUUACCCGCAGAAGAAGCACCGGCUAACUCCGUGCCAGCAGCCGCGGUAAUAC
rnacentral:rRNA from 1 species